rnacentral:rRNA from 1 species
UACGUAGGGUGCGAGCGUUGUCCGGAAUUAUUGGGCGUAAAGAGCUCGUAGGCGGCUUGUCGCGUCGGAUGUGAAAGCCCCGGGGCUUAACCCCGGGUCUGCAUUCGAUACGGGCAAACUAGAGUGUGGUAGGGGAGACUGGAAUUCCUGGUGUAGCGGUGAAAUGCGCAGAUAUCAGGAGGAACACCGGCGGCGAAGGCGGGUCUCUGGGCCAUAACUGACGCUGAGGAGCGAAAGCGUGGGGAGCGAACAGG